CAGCAGCCGCGGGAAUACCAGCACCUCGAGUGGUCAGGAGGUUUAUUGGGCCUAAAGCAUCCGUAGCCGGUUGCAUAAGUUUUCGGUUAAAUCUAUGCGCUUAACGUAUAGGCCGCCGAAAAUACUGUGCAGCUAGGGAGUGGGAGAGGUACACGGUACUCGAUAGGAAGGGGUAAAAUCCUUUGAUCUAUUGAUGACCACCUGUGGCGAAGGCGGUGUACCAGAACACGUUCGACGGUGAGGGAUGAAAGCUGGGGGAGCGAACAGGAUUAGAUACCCCUGUAGUCCCUGUCUCUUAUAC
rnacentral:rRNA from 1 species